rnacentral:rRNA from 1 species
GGUUGAAGUAGUGAGAGGUGAGCUUGAAACUUAAGAAUUUUGGCGGUCUUUUUUAUCUUUCUAGAGGAAUUUGCUCUUUAAUCGAUAGUCCGCGUUUAAUUUUACUUGGUUGGGGUUUGUAUACCGCUGUUUAUAAUGUUUUUGUAUAGAAUGUUGGUGAAGAGGUCUCAGUAAAUCAAGUCAAGGUGCAGCUUUUAAUUGAGGUUGAAGUGAAUUACACCUUGGAUUUUUUAUUGAAAUAUUAAAAUGAGAUAGGAUUUAGAAGUAAUUGAGAAUUAGAAUGUU